rnacentral:sRNA from 1 species
AGGCGCUUUAACAAGCUUAGAGCUUCAA